rnacentral:lncRNA from 1 species
CAACAAACUCCGUUCUACAGGCGGGUCUCCUAUUGGUAAGAUUAAACUUAGGAAGUGCGUCUCCUAUGGUGAAACUAAACUGAGGAAGUGCGUCUCCUAUUGGUAAUGACAUGCCUGCAUUUAUACUUGUGGGCGACCUAGAAUAUGGAAUGAACAGACAAAAUGUAUUCCCGCAUUAUACUGGUGGGCGACCUAGAACAUAAAUGUAUUCCCGCAUUAUACUGGUGGGCGACCUAGAACUUAAAUGUAUUCCCGCAUUUUACUGGUGGGCGACCUAGAACUUAAAUGUAUUCCCGCAUUUUACUGGUGGGCGACCUAGAACUUAAAAGUAUUCCCGCAUUUUACUGGUGGGCGACCUAGAACUUAAAUGUAUUCCCGCAUUAUACUGGUGGGCGACCUAGAACUUAA